rnacentral:rRNA from 1 species
AUUGAACGCUGGCGGCAUGCUUUACACAUGCAAGUCGAACGGUAACAGGCCGCAAGGUGCUGACGAGUGGCGAACGGGUGAGUAAUGCAUCGGAACGUGCCCAGUCGUGGGGGAUAACGCAGCGAAAGCUGUGCUAAUACCGCAUACGAUCUAUGGAUGAAAGCGGGGGACCGUAAGGCCUCGCGCGAUUGGAGCGGCCGAUGGCAGAUUAGGUAGUUGGUGGGGUAAAGGCCUACCAAGCCGACGAUCUGUAGCUGGUCUGAGAGGACGACCAGCCACACUGGGACUGAGACACGGCCAAGACUCCUACGGGAGGCAGCAGUGGGGAAUUUUGGACAAUGGGCGCAAGCCUGAUUCAGCAAUGCCGCGUGCAGGAAGAAGGCCUUCGGGUUGUAAACUGCUUUUGUACGGAACGAAACGGUCUGGGUUAAUACCCUGGGCUAAUGACGGUACCGUAAGAAUAAGCACCGGCUAACUACGUGCCAGCCGCCGCAGUAAAAC